AGAAGAAGUUAAGCUUGAAGGCAUAGAAGAUGAUGGCCAAUUUAAAAAUGGAUGGUUUAUAAGAACAGCUUCAAAAUCUUUCGCUGUCUAUGCUGCAACAAGUACAGAAAAACAAGAGUGGAUGGCCCACAUAAAUAAAUGUAUUGAAGAUUUAUUGAGAAAAAGUGGCAAAAAAGCAGUAGAAGAACAUGCAGCAGUUUGGGUCCCAGAUGGGGAAGCAAGUGUUUGUAUGCAUUG